rnacentral:rRNA from 1 species
AACCGGGGGUUCACUCCAACCCCUGUGAC